rnacentral:rRNA from 1 species
UACGGAGGGUGCAAGCGUUAUCCGGAUUCACUGGGUUUAAAGGGUGCGUAGGCGGGCAGGUAAGUCAGUGGUGAAAUCCCCGAGCUUAACUUGGGAACUGCCGUUGAUACUAUCUGUCUUGAAUGCUGUGGAGGUAAGCGGAAUAUGUCAUGUAGCGGUGAAAUGCUUAGAUAUGACAUAGAACACCAAUUGCGAAGGCAGCUUGCUACACAGUUAUUGACGCUGAAGCGCGAAAGCUAGGGGAGCGAACGGG